rnacentral:rRNA from 1 species
GGAAACCAUUGCUAAUACCCAAUGAGCCGAGAGGUAAAAAAUUUAUUGCCUGAAGAGGAGCUCGCGUCCGAUUAGUUAGUUGGUGGGGUAAAGGCUUACCAAGACGGCGAUCGGUAGCUGGUCUGAGAGGAUGAGCAGCCACACUAGGACUGAGACACGGCCCAGACUCCUACGGGAGGCAGCAGUGGGGAAUUUUCCGCAAUGGGCGAAAGCCUGACGGAGCAAUACCGCGUGAGGGAGGAAGGCCUUUGGGUUGUAAACCUCUUUUCUUAAGGAAGAAGAUCUGACGGUACUUAAGGAAUCAGCAUCGGCUAACUCCGUGCCAGCAGCCGCGGUAAUACGGAGGAUGCAAGCGUUAUCCGGAAUUAUUGGGCGUAAAGCGUCCGCAGGCGGCACUAUAAGUCUGCUGUCAAAGACCGCAGCUCAACUGCGGAAAGGCAGUGGAAACUGUAGAGCUAGAGUACGGUAGGGGUAGAGGGAAUUCCCAGUGUAGCGGUGAAAUGCGUAGAGAUUGGGAAGAACACCAGUGGCGAAAGCGCUCUACUGGGCCGUAACUGACGCUCAGGGACGAAAGCU